rnacentral:rRNA from 1 species
UACGAAGGGGGCUAGCGUUGUUCGGAAUUACUGGGCGUAAAGGGCGCGCAGGCGGCCCUCCAAGUCAGGCGUGAAAGCCCCGGGCUCAACCCGGGAAUAGCGCUUGAGACUGGGGGGCUUGAGUUCGGGAGAGGAGAGUGGAAUUCCCAGUGUAGAGGUGAAAUUCGUAGAUAUUGGGAAGAACACCGGUGGCGAAGGCGGGUCUCUGGGCCGUUACUGACGCUGAGGAGCGAAAGCGUGGGGAGCGAACAGG